GAAAUGCGAUAAGUAAUGUGAAUUGCAGAAUUCAGUGAAUCAGCGAAUCUUUGAACGCACAUUGCGCCCGCCAGCACUCUGGCGGGCAUGCCUGUUCGAGCGUCAUUUCAACCCUCAGAACCCCUUGCGGGAUCUGGCGUUGGGGAUUGGCAUCCAGCCAGCCCCGAAAUCUAGUGGCGGUCCCUCCGCGACCUCCCCUGUGCAGUAGCGAUACCUCGCAGCGGGACAGCGGUCUGACCACGCCGUAAAACCCCCAACUUCUCAAGGUUGACCUCGAAUCAGGUAGGAAUACCCGCUGAACUUAAGC
rnacentral:misc_RNA from 1 species